UCAAAUGACUUUUGAACUUAGUGGCGGACGGGUGAGUAACACGUGAGCAACCUGCCUAUCAGAGGGGGAUAACGAUUGGAAACGAUCGCUAAUACCGCAUGACAUAGCGAAACCGCAUGGUUUUGCUAUCAAAGAUUUAUCGCUGAUAGAUGGGCUCGCGUCCGAUUAGAUAGUUGGUGAGGUAACGGCUCACCAAGUCGACGAUCGGUAGCCGGACUGAGAGGUCGAACGGCCACAUUGGGACUGAGACACGGCCCAGACUCC
rnacentral:rRNA from 1 species